rnacentral:rRNA from 1 species
AACGUAGGACGCAAGCGUUAUCCGGAGUUACUGGGCGUAAAGCGCGGGCAGGCGGCUCGAUGCGUCUGAUGUGAAAUCUCCUCGCUCAACGGGGAGAGGCCAUUGGAAACGGUCGGGCUGGAGGGCAGUAGAGGCAGGCGGAAUUCCGGGUGGAGUGGUGAAAUGCGUAGAGAUCCGGAGGGACACCAGAGGCGAAGGCGGCCUGCUGGGCUGCACCUGACGCUGAGCCGCGAAAGCCAGGGGAGCGAACGGG